AAUCAGUUCAGCACUAAGUCACUUUGUCUUUAUGGCAAAUGUGAGAUGCAGUGUAUGGAAUGUCAAAUUUCUAGUAUGAGAAAUUAAUGAUUUAAGUCCUUCUUAAAUGAGGCCAUUUACCCAAAGAGGGUGCCAGGCCCGUAUAACGUUAAUGAUUACUAGAUGACAUUUCCAAAGAGUCGUGUUGCUUGAUAGUGCAGCACUAAGUUGGUGGUAAACUCCAUCUAAAACUAAAUAUAGCCAUGAGACCGAUAGUAAACAAGUACCGUGAGGGAAAGUUGAAAAGAACUCUGAAUAGAGAGUUAAAUAGUACGUGAAACUGCUUAGAGGUUAAGCCCGAUGACCCUGAAUAUUCUUUAUGGAAAAUUCACCACUAUAAUUAUAUAAUAUAUAACCAUUAAUAUUAUAAUAGUGUGCAUUUUUUUCAUAAGGGACAUUGUGAUUCAUUAACUUUAAAUUAAAUUUAUCAUAAGAUCAUUAUGCGUUAGUUUAACAAUGUCAAUUUGCUUCUUGCAAUUUGAACAUUGAGAUAAAUGCUUUUGAUUUGAUAAAGUGUUGAUGGAUAUUGCAUAUGGUGCUAAAAUAUAUAUAAAUUAUUUAUGUAUUUUGUAAUAGCAUAUUAAUCAUUGAUUUUUAUGUUUAUUAUUUAUGCACUUGUAUGAUCAACAAUGCGAAAGAUUCAGGAUACCUUCGGGACCCGUCUUGAAACACGGACCAAGGAGUCUAACAUAUUUGCAAGUUAUUGGGCAUAAAAAACCUAAUAGCGCAAUUAACAUGACUACCGAAAUGGGAUUAGUUUUUAGGUCUAUUUUUUAGCGAGAAUAGUCUAUUAAUUCAAUCCCGGGGCGUUCUAUCAGUUAUGUAUAAUAAUAUUUAUAUUAUUUAUACCUCUAACUAGAGCGUACCCUGAGCAUAUAUGCUGUGACCCGAAAGAUGGUGAACUAUAC
rnacentral:rRNA from 1 species